CUGGCGGCGUGCCUAACACAUGCAAGUCGAACGGGGAUUUGUUUCGGCAGAAUCCUAGUGGCGAACGGGUGAGUAACGCGUAGGCAACCUGCCCUCCGGCCGGGGACAACACUCCGAAAGGGGUGCUAAUACCGGAUACGAAGUCUGUGCCGCAUGGUACGGAUUUGAAAGAUGGCCUCUAUUUAUAAGCUAUCGCCGGGGGAUGGGCCUGCGUCCGAUUAGCUGGUUGGUGGGGUAACGGCCUACCAAGGCGACGAUCGGUAGCCGGUCUGAGAGGAUGAACGGCCACAUUGGGACUGAGACACGGCCCAGACUCCUACGGGAGGCAGCAGUGGGGAAUCUUCCGCAAUGGGCGCAAGCCUGACGGAGCAACGCCGCGUGAGUGAGGAAGUUCUUCGGAACGUAAAGCUCUGUUGUUCCUGACGAACCUCCCUUCUAUCAACAACGGAAGGGACUGACGGUAGGGAACGAGGAAGCCACGGCUAACUACGUGCCAGCCGCGGC
rnacentral:rRNA from 1 species